UACGUAGGGUGCAAGCGUUAAUUGGAAUUACUGGGCGUAAAGCGUGCGCAGGCGGUGAUGUAAGCCAGCUGUGAAAUCCCCGGGCUCAACCUGGGAACUGCAUUUGUGACUGCAUCGCUGGAGUGCGGCAGAGGGGGAUGGAAUUCCGCGUGUAGCAGUGAAAUGCGUAGAUAUGCGGAGGAACACCGAUGGCGAAGGCAAUCCCCUGGGCCUGCACUGACGCUCAUGCACGAAAGCGUGGGGAGCAAACAGG
rnacentral:rRNA from 1 species